rnacentral:rRNA from 1 species
UACGUAUGGUGCAAGCGUUAUCCGGAUUUACUGGGUGUAAAGGGAGCGUAGGCGGCGCGUUAAGUCUGAUGUGAAAACCCGAGGCUCAACCACGGGAGUGCAUUGGAAACUGGCGUGCUGGAGUGCCGGAGAGGUAAGCGGAAUUCCUAGUGUAGCGGUGAAAUGCGUAGAUAUCAGGAGGAACACCAGUGGCGAAGGCGGCCUACUGGACGGUGACUGACGCUGAGGCUCGAAAGCGUGGGGAGCAAACAGG